AGACCCGAAACCAGUCUACCUUAUCUUCUGGAGAUGGUUAGCAGUAGGCAUAGCAGUAGGCAGUCAAGAUGUCGCGAUUCACGUCAUAAGUGACCACAUCGUGAGGCAAACGAUUAUUAAAGACAGAUUAUUGAAAGUAAUGGAAGGAAGAGUGUCUCCCGACUGAGAAAUUAGAGGAAUACACGACUGUAGCCACGUAAAUAAUCAGACGCCAAGGAAACGUGUGAGAAUUAUAAGAACAGAGGCCAAAACAAGAACUUCAAGGGAGCUAUGAUCGACAGGUAGCUGUAGCUUAUUCUCUACAGUGAAAGCUAUAUAAGAAAAUUGAAACAAUUUUUUUCGCCAAAAUGAUUCAGUUGUGGGCCAACUUUGAGAAAAAAUUACUGUUAAAUGGAAUCUGAGUGACAUGUCACCGACUAAUGAAAUUCGCGCAGAAUUGGGUACAGUGGAGGAGGUUUGUGGAGUGAACAGCUGCAGUGAGCUACGUAAAUAUAUGACCGAUGAAGCUGAAAUUUUUCGACGAACCGCAAAACUGAACGCACUAGCGCUUGUUCUAAGUACAUCGGAUUGUAUAGUCAUGUUUGACUUCAUUCUGGUAGAAAAACACUCCAUGGAAUACGGAAGAGGCCGAAGGAUGGAGGUACAUCGGAUUGAAUUGUCAUCUUGGGCUCUAUUCUGGAAGAAAAACACUUCAUGGAGUACGGAAAAAAUCGAAGGAUGGAGGGACUUUUUUCUGCUUUUGAAUUUUCCAUGAGCAAAGAUGUUUCCACAAGUAAAAAGCUUCCACGUGUGAAUUUGUGCGCAAUUAAUAUGAAGAGGAGCGGUUGCCGCGAAAAUUCCCCUAGGGGCUCUCCCAGUUGCAGAUGAUAAGGUGGGCAUCCCUCAAUCAGAUGACAGGGUAUCCCUCAGUUUUAAUCAAGUCUUAGGCGCGAUAAGGAGCCAAUGAUCGGGAAACGAUUCCACAUCCCUCUCUCGAAAGGACACAUGACCGCCUGACUUGACGGUAUGAAAGGACAACGAUUCAUUAGCUCGAGAAUCACAAGCUAUUUAUUCUUCGAAAUAAAUGA